CUCGAGACUAAUCACUCUCCCUGAGAGAAGACAUAGUACGUACUGAUCUUAACGAACUGUCAACGCCCAAUUGGCAAUCCUAUGAUCAGGAACGUUUAGGAUGUGUCUACGAAAGAAUGGUCUCAUGAAUCUAACUUCAUUAGAUUACAUUCUCCCAAUCACAUAUUCAUUGGACUUUAUCGUUUAAGCAUAUAACAUUUAUAUGAGACGGCUCAAACAAUAAUCUUUGCCCUUUAUAUGUUAAACUAGAUUAGUUUAACAUGUGAAAUGUCCGUAAAGUAUCAUCACAUGAUUGGCUUUAGGGCACAUUUCCAACAUUAAAUUGGGAGAAAUGCCAUUUUAUGGUUAAACAAGGUAUUGUUUUAGGUCAUAUAAUUUCUGAACGAGGAAUUGAGGUUGAUAAGUCUAAAAUAGAUCUUGUACGCUACUUACCCUCUCCUACUUCGGUGAGAGAGGUUCGUUCUUUUCUUGAUCAUGCAGGAUUCUAUAGACGAUUUAUCAAGGAUUUCUCCAAGAUUGCACAACCCCUAUGCCGUCUCCUACAAAAGGAUGUGUCCUUUGAGUUCAACGAGGCAUGUGAGAAGGCAUUCAAGCAUCUCAAGGACCUCCUCACCACGGCACCCAUCAUAACUCCCCCGGAUUGGUCCAUUCCCUUUGAAUUGAUGUGUAAUGCAUCGGAUUAUGCACUUGGAGCUGUUUUGGGUCAAAGAAAAAAUAAACAGCCACAUGUCAUUUAUUAUGCUUCACGCACUUUAAAUGAUGCUCAAUUGAAUUAUUCCGUAACCGAAAAAGAACUUUUGGCGGUUGUAUUUGCUUUAGAUAAAUUUAGAUCAUAUCUAAUUGGUACUAAAGUAAUUGUUUUCAUUGACCAUGCAGCCUUGAAAUAUCUUUUCACCAAAAAGGAGGCUAAACCGAGCUCAUUCGUUGGAUGCUCUUACUUCAAGAGUUCGAUAUUGAAAUUAGGGACAAGAAAGGAUGUGAAAACGUGGUGGCUGACCACCUAAGCAGAUUGGUACGGGAAGAAGAGUCCCUCCCCAUUUCUGAGACGUUUCCGGAUGAACAACUUCUGUCCAUUGAGGUAAGUACCCCUUGGUAUGCCGAUUUGGUCAAUUUCUUGGUGUCUAAGCAAGUUCCUAACACUCUAAGCAAGGUUCAACGUGAUAAAUUGAAACAUGAUGCAAGAUUUUAUGUGUGGGAUGAUCCAUAUCUAUGGAAAUAUUGCCCAGAUCAGAUUGUUAGAAGAUGUGUGCCAAAUUCUGAUUUUAAUUCAAUUCUAGCAUUUUGUCAUUCUUAUGCAUGUGGGGGACAUUUUGGCACCCAACGCACUGCCCUCAAAGUCUUAGAAUGUGGGUUUUAUUGGCCAACCAUUUUUAGGGAUGCUAGGACAUUUUGCCUUACAUGUGAUCGUUGUCAACGAAUGGGUAAUAUAAGUGUUAAGGAUCAAAUGCCACAGAACCCUAUACUUUCUGUUGAAAUAUUUGAUGUGUGGGGAAUUGAUUUUAUGGGUCCUUUUCCUUCAUCACAUGGUUUUCUCUAUAUCUUGUUGGCGGUGGAUUAUGUUUCCAAAUGGGUGGAAGCAAAAGCCACCCGGACUAACGAUUCCAAAGUGGUUGCAGAUUUUGUGAAGUCUAACAUUUUUGCUAGAUUUGGAAUGCCUCGAGUCCUUAUAAGUGAUGGAGGUUCACAUUUUUGUAAUCGCACAAUCAAGGCUCUGCUCAAGAAGUACAACGUUACACAUAGGGUUUCGACACCCUAUCAUCCUCAAACAAGCGGGCAAGCCGAGGUGUCGAAUCGGGAGAUAAAACAGAUUCUUGAGAAGACAGUUGGACCAACAAGAAAAGAUUGGAGCUUGAGGUUAGAAGAUGCGUUGUGGGCUUAUAGGAUCGCCUACAAAACACCCAUAGGAAUGUCCCCCUUUCGGCUUGUGUAUGGAAAACCAUGUCACUUACCUGUGGAGUUGAAGCACAAGGCUCAUUGGGCCGUGAGGAAGUUCAACAUGGAUGUAGAUGAGGCGGGAAUUCAUCGUAAGCUUCAAUUGAAUGAACUUGAGGAAAUACAUAAUGAAGCUUACGAGAAUGCUCAACUCUACAAGGAAAAGACGAAGGCCUUUCAUGACAAGAUGAUUCGCACCAAGUCCUUCUCUGUUGGACAAAAAGUGUUGUUGUUUAAUUCUCGUCUUCGUCUAUUUCCGGAUAAGUUACGUUCACGUUGGAUUGGACCCUUUGUUAUUACUAAUGUUUUUCCUCAUGGUGCAGUCCAAGUUCGUAGCUUCAAAACAGGUCAAGAGUUCAAGGUGAAUGGGCAUCGCUUGAAGCCUUACUACGAGAGCUUUGUAGAACAUGAUGUGGAGGAGACAACCCACUAUGCCGUGGGUUCCCAUGAAGGUUGAUCAAUGAGGCAUCGUCCGGCUGCAAGACGUUAAAGAAAGCGCUACUUGGGAGGCAACCCAUGCAUUCGACAAAGGAAGACCUAGAGAGCACUCCAAUUCCAGAUUUGCGUUCCUCAAACCUUUCUCUUUGUUGUUGUUUAUAAUCUGCCCGUUUAUUUGUUUACUUGUUGUUUGUGUGUUUCCUUUUAUUUGGUGUGAUUUUAUGCUUGAAACAUUGAGGACAAUGUUUGAUUUAAGUGUGGGGGGGGGUAACUAAGUGUUUUUGAUGCAAAUUCGUGGGAUUGUACCUGUUGGAAGUAUGCCCACAAAGCCACUCAUUUGAUGUAAUAGCUUUUUGGAAUACUUAAUGUAUUAAACUUUUAUAUGUUUAAUGAAGGGCAAAUCUUAUUGUUAAUCACUAUUUAUUGUAUCAUGUGUUUAAGCAAUAAGAGAAUCCAAGGAAUGUAUUUGUUCUAAGAGAUAAGUGAUCUAAGUGAGUUAGAUUAUCAAGACCUUUCUCUUAUGUUCAUUCCUAAAACGUUCCUAGCCAUAGGAUUGCCAAUUGGGCAUUGACAAUCCGCUAAGGUUAGUAUGUGUUGUGUUGACUCAAGCGUGAGUAUGACUAGUCUCAAGUCAUUUGGUGUUGGACACUAAGACAAACACAUAGGUGCUCGAAAGAGUAAUCGAGUACACUGAACUACGAUCAAAAGAGAGUUCGAACAUACAUGUCAUGUAUGAACUCUAAAGUUACAAUAUGCAAAGUAGUCCUUUGACCUGAGGCAUCAUCGAUGUCUAAUGGUUAGGUCCUUGAUCUUUGAUCUUGUCAACGGCAUUCCUUUGGAGUGUCCACGGCAUUGUUGGGGUCAAGCUAUCUAGUCAUGUAGGCAUAUGAAUGCACAACAAGGGAUCUCUAACCUUCCUUGGUGGAGGGAGAAUACUCUAAGAUAUGAUUCUAAAGUCUUUGGCCAAAGCAAAUGAAUAUGACUUAGGAAGUUUGUUCCAAAUCAUAUUCAUGGGAAUCAUAUAUGAAAGUAUCACAUUGGAUAGUAGACAUGAAACAAACUAUCACGUAAACAAUGUGAUUAAGAGUAUUGUAUUAGAGAAUGACCGUAUUGCAUUGUAGUUGUAACUGGAUAGGUUCUCCAACCAAUUCUACUUAGCUUGGGUAACCAUGACAUACUGCUAGGUGUCACUCAUGGUUUGUGGAAGCCCAAAUGAUUAGGUAACACUAAUCAUUAAAGGGAGAAUUGAAAUGUGGUUUCAAUUCACAAAUCGAUAGUUAAGAGUAACAUCGCCCACUGCCUCGCUAAUUGGAACCUAAUGGAUCGUACAUCGAGUAAGGAUGUAUGUGAAGAAAUCAAAUGAAAUGGAUAAGCAAUUAAAUGGUUUAAUUGAAGAAUGGUCAAAGAUUAAUUAAUUAGUUAAUUAAUUAUACGAAAGGUUCGUAUUGGGCUUAUAUGUAGGUUUUGGGUUUCGGGGCCCAAAAGCGUUUUGGUCCACAAGGCCCAUUAUGUUUAAGUUGUAUGACAACUAAAACAAAAUAGGAAAAUUAGCCCAAUAACAAAGGAUGGCCGGCCAUUAGGGUGAAUGGGCAAAGUUUGCUUUAUUACAAGUUUGCCACUCAUCAAAGAAAAGGUUAUAAAAGCAACUUUAUAGCUAUUUUCUAAUUAGGGUUUUUUCUUGUUGAAAUUGCGUGAAACAUUUUCUCCAUUUUCUUCUAAGGAGGCCGGCCACUAAGGGGAGGGACAUCUAGCAAUCUCUUCUUCCCUUAGUCAUCCAAUUCAUCUUCACAAGAUACAACCUUGGUGAAGAGACUUAGAGACAUCAAGCUUUUGGUGUUUUGGGGAACAAAUCCUUUUUCCUCAAAUCAUCAAAGGAGCACUAAAGGGAGGAAAACACAAGGAGGAUUCAAGGAGCUUGGAGGUGACUUGAAGGCCCUCCACUUGGGUGAAUCCCUUGUGUAAACAAGGAUGAGCUUCAAGGGUAAAGAAUCACUAAAUCUUUACUUCUCUUUAAUGUUGUUAAAGAGUUUAUUUUGGUUCACCAUAUACUAGGCUUUGAAAGUCAUGGGUUUUAUGAAUUGUUUUUGGAUGCAUGCCUACUUUAAAGUGUUAAUAGCUUGCAUGUGUAUUCAAAUGUUCAUACUUGUUCUUAGCCAGGACAAAAAUUUUCCUUCAGUACCACCCAUUACUUAGAGACUUGUUCCUUGCUGUUUUUAAGUGUUUUUAAGCAGUUUUGGUGUAUUUUAGUGUGUGUUAACAUAAAACUCCGAAAAUCACAUAAAAAUUUGAAAAAAGUGUUUUGAAAAGCCUAAAAAUAGUGUUUUGAGUCGUUUUUGUGUGUUUGUGUCUAGGGUACCUUCCAACACAAUGAUGAGGAUUCGGUUUGUAAUUGCAUGACUGUUAAAGAAAGUUAUUAAACAUGGAUGAAAGUUUGAAUUUACUCUUUGCUUAUGCUUGGUUGUGGUUAUAGCUUUAUGAAUUCACAUGCAAUCACAAAGGAAAAAAAAUUAGUUUUUGUAACAUGCUUGAAGGAAGGAACUCAAGCAAACGCUACAACCUUGUGAGACUUGAGCCUAAACAUUUAUUUGGAGAGUUAAAAUCUAUGCAUUAUUGUUUUCUAAAGUCGUUGCAUGAUCUCAUUAUUCCUUUGCUUGGUUACUACUUAGAAGGCGUUUCAUCAUUUAGUUCCAAAUGCUAGAACCAUUUCAUUCAAAGCAUGUUAUUGAUUUGCAUAACACAUAUUCAAGAUGAAGUUGUGUAGUUACCACCACCAAAGCCAAAUUGCCGUAUAUCCCGUAUCAUUUAUGUUUAAGUUUAACCCCGUCGAGCCUUGUUAGCCUACAUUCUUUGUUAACCCACAUUAACCUCACCUAGCCUAGAUUAGGACCAUCCUUACCCUUGUUCUUGAAGCGUAGUAAAGCAUGAUUCAAAUUGAAUUCCUUUUCAUUAUAAUAUUGGCAGAAAACAAGUGUGGGGGAAAGGUUUCAAUUUGGGUAUUUUGGGUGCCAUAGAACACGGCAAGAAAAGAAAAGAAAAAAAAAAUGAAAUUCGUGGAAAAAGAAAAAGAGUUGAAAAGAUGUGAAAAAAAAAAAGUUCUAGAGUAUUGUUUGUUGAAGAAAGGGUCCAAAACUUUGAAUUCGGCCCUAAGUAUUGCUUGAAUCUUCCCUUCGUGUUUAAAAGUUGAUUUCUACAAUCUAAGUGAAUUCUAAGUUUCAAUUUCAUUACUUUGCUUGCUAUUGCUUUAAGAACGUUUGUUAUCCCUAUCCUUCAUUUGUUAGCCAACACCCCAAGCCCCGUUACAACCUUUGACUUCAAUCUUGAGUGUUAUGUGUUUCAAUUUGUGGAGUUUGAAGUUGGUAUGAGCAUAUGGUGUCACUGGUUCUCGCGUCUAAGUAGUAGCAUUCCAUUCAUGAGAUCAUAUCUAAACAUGCUUAUUAACUCCAGAAAUUGCGUUCUUUGUUAUAUAUAUGUGAGUGUUUGUUUUCAUAUCUACAUCAAUCUUCUCACAUAUAACUAGUAUAGGGUGUGUAGUUAGAAAAUCUGAGUGAAAAUUGAGUGCAUAUCUUGUAAGGAAUUGAGGGAAUUCUCUAAGGCAUGUUACUACAUUCAAAACAUUGUUUUAAUUGCUUAAAUGUGAACUAGUAAGUAGUGACUAUGAUUAAGUAUGUGCUCAAGUGUAAAGAUGACUCAAAUCUUGUGGGAUGAUGAUUUUUAACAUGUCAUGUGCAUUGGAAAUCCCUGAGGCAAAUGUUGGAAGGUUUAGGUUAUGUUUUAUUUGUUUUGUUUUGUUUUAUUUUGUUUUAUUUUGCUCGAGGACUAGCAAAAGCUAAGUGUGGGGGAAUUUGAUAGGACCAUAUUUAUGCGACUUAAUCGGCUUGUUCUCGUGCAUUUAUGUUAUGUUUCGUUAGCUAUUUUAGUGUUUAAAGUUACUUUUGUGUGUUUUCAGAUUCUAAAGGCAAAGUAUGCAUUUUGGAGCAUUUUGGAGCAAAAGGAUUCUUAAUUGAAGAAGGAUUCCUAAUCAACGAAGGAUUCCUAAUUGAAGAUGGAUUCCUAAUCACAUGAGGAUUCCUAGAAGAACAAGGAUUCCUACUCCAACAAGGAUUCCUACUUGAAGUAGGAAAGUUAAGCCAAGGGUUCUUACUUUGGUUUGACCUUUCCUAAAUGUUCCUAAGUUUUAUCAACUUUGAAGGCAUCCUAAGCAUUCUAGGACAUCAAAUACACCUCUCUUGCACAUUGAAAGUCCUUGCCGCACCAUGUGAAGGUUCCUUGCCCUUUCCUCUUCCUUGCCGUGCAAGGGAGAGGGUCCUUUCCUGAUUUUGAGGAUUAAAACACAUUCCUAAUGUGUUUCAAGGUGUUGCCGCAUAUCCCUUGACCUUUCCCUUAAUUUUCUGAUUUUGUUUCCUACUUCUAGAAGUUUUUUACUUAAAUUUCUGUUUACCUAAUUAGCCUAGGGUUUUUAAUUUCCUAAUCCCUUUAAAUAACCAUCCUUGUGCAGCCACAAACAUCCCCAUUCAUCCAGAAAACAGCCAUUCACGCCAGAACACAUUCCAUACACUUAGCCGCACCAUUCUACCACCAUUCACCCUAGUUCCUGCCUAAAAACAUCCCUAGCCGCCCUAUACACUCAUUCCAUCCCUCACCAUAACCUACCUACAUCCAUCCACCACCACAAUUCAUCGCAAAUCAUCACCAAACACCCUUGUGUCGCAGCAAAGAAGAAAGAAUGAGACCCUUGGACGUGCUUGCCAUUCAAGACGUUGGAUUGUUGGAGCGUUUCUAGGUGUAAUCUUUCUUUUGUUUUCAAUGGUUAAGUUUAUGUAUCUUUGUUUUGCGAACAUGAGGAACUAAGCCCUUCUUAGUUAGGGGGUAAUUCGAAACCAUGUUCAUGCUUGCAAUAUGAAUUGAUUACUUUUGGUUGUGAUUGAUUUCAUAAGUUGUGAAUUCAAUUCAUUUAACUGCUUGAUUGAUAACGUAUUCAUGUAUGUUUGUUAAGAGUGCACGCUUAGUUUUCAUGCAUGAAUAUGAUGCUAGAAUAUAAGGGAGUUUCACCUAAUAGUUACAAACUUAUAUUCACAAGUAGUGGAGGUCGCUUAUAAACGAUCGCGUUAAAUGAAUUCUUGGCAUAAGUUUCAUGCUCAUCAUAGUAACGAGUGCCUUGUCAAUACUUAUAGUUCUCAUGUUGCUUAAUGAUCUUUGAUUGUAUCUUUAUUGUGCUUUUCACGUAAAGGACUUUUGAAGAAUGUGUUGAGUUGUUGUAUGCGCUUUCCCAUCCAAUUCAAUAACUUAAGGAGAACUUGAAGGUUAAUUUAAGCGGACCUAAUUAACCUGGGGUGUUGAGUUUCAUGAUUUAUUGAACGAACAACUGAAAUCAAUUAGAAUGCAAGUGUGUCAUGUGUGGAGAAGAACCCUCUAGCUAGCCCAUCAUCCAUAGUUUGAUCCAAAUUCGUCUAGAAUCUGUUUUCAAUUUACAAUCUGUUUUGCAAGUUUAAUUUCGUCCAAAAUCAAAACCCCCUUGAAUUUAUUGAGUCUUAUUAGUUAGAAAGUACUUUAGUUUGUGUUUUUAAGUGUUUUGGUUCAAGUUAUAACUCAAUUUCGUCCAAAUUAGUGUUAGAGUUCAAAAACUGCCCAGUUUGUGUUUUUAGGUAGUUUUGAGUGUUUUUAGCUUGUUUUGAGUCUCUUGAGUUUGUUUUGAGUCUUUUGAGUCUAGUUAAGUGUCUUGCAAAUUCGUCCAUUCAUUGUGCUCCACAUGCAUGAGCUCCAUUCUAGCUCAAUUUUGCUCCAAAAUGCUCCAAAUUGCACCUUUUUGCUUACUUUGUCCUUAAAACCUGAAAACACAUGAAAAUAGCUUAAAAGACUAACUUAACUAAGAAAACACAACAUAAAUGCAUAAGAACUAACUAACUAAGGCGCAUAAAGAUGCUCCUAUCACCUGUUUGUUUUCAACGAAUUUUAAUGUAAAAAUACUUUGCAUAUCUGUCAAUGUUUCAAAAAUAAACCCACACCAAAAACAAUAAACAAGCAACAAAUAAAAAUGACAAUUAUGGAAAAAUAAAAAUACAGAAAAUGGAAGGUUUUUAGAAACGCAAAACUGAUUGUGAAGCGAUUCAAAGAUCUUCCUUUUUUUUAAUACAUGGGUUGCCUCCCCAAGAAGCGCUUGCUUUAACAUCUUCCAGCCGGACGAAACUUCCUUCUAAGCUUGGAUAGGGCCCAUAGCAUGGAAUUGAUCCUUGAAUGAAAGGUGAUACUUGACGUGAUCUGGCAAUGGUUUAAAUUCUAGUGUAGGUGCCUGAAUCAUCAAAAUCAGCAAGUUAGUAUAAAAUAAAAUCGAAGUUGGAGAAGAUGGCUUACUUGCUUGCUCCGACACAAACUCAAUUACGAACACCACAUCUUUAAAGGUUGCAGGGAUAUGGGAUUUGGCCAGAUUUGGUGUUUUGAGAGUUAUGACUUGUCCCAUGUCAUAAAAUCCAACUUCUUUGAGAUUUUUUGUCUCAAGUGUAACUGCUUUGAUGAAUUCUAGACAUUCCCCAUCCACUUCUUGCUCUUGAUUCUUUGGAAAGGUUUCGAAGAUGCCUUUCUCACCCUCUUCUUCCUUGGAUUGCUUGAUCCUGCAAGAAAUAAGGACAUUUGGUGAAACGGGGUCAAGACGAAUUGAAUUUAGGCUUACCUUGGUUGUAGUGGACGGCAUAGAGGGCAUAUGGGGCUGCGGCAAGGGUGGUUCUUCCCUUACUAUGGCCUUGUUAUUCUCCUCUUCUUCGAGCAUCAGCUAUUCAUCCACGUUUUGGCUUGGUUUGGAUGUCUUGGGUUCACCUCCAACCUCCAUAACACUUCCCAAAGUGAUAGCAUCAUGGAUUUCAAAAUCUUCCUUCAAAUUUUCAAUAGUUGAGUUGGAGAGUUCACUUUGCUCUUGAAUUUGUGCCAUGAACUCCAUAAUCUCUCCAAGUUGAUUUUUCAAUUCGCUCAUCUCCUUAGCUUGAUUAAGCAUUGUUUCAUUUUGAUUUUGUUGCCCCUACACCAAAAAGGUUAGUAAUUGAAAAUUUUGAUCACUAUCCGUAGGCAUACUUGAAUUUGAUUGGAAUUGUUGUAGGGGAAACUGUGGUGGCUGCAUAGUUGUUAAAUAAAACUCAUUAGAUUGCUGCCAAUAUCCAUCUUGUUAAGCCUCCUUGGUUUAAUUUUGUGAGCCCUGCACCAAAGAAUUUAUUUCAUAAAAAAUUCGAUCAUAAUCUAUUGAUGAACCUGAGUUUGAUUAAGCAUAUUGUAUAUGAGGUUGUGAUGGCUGCAUAGGUCUUGAAUGGAACUCCUCUUCUUGCUGCAAAUAUCCAUCUUGUUAGAAUUGUUGAGGUUCUAUGUAAUCUGAAUAAUCUUUCCAAUCCGAAUUGUAAGCGUUGGAAAACAUGUGUCCCAUGAUUGGCUAUGGCCUUGAUAACCCCAAGCAUCUUCAUUCGCAGCGAAUUGAGAAUAUUGCUGAGUUCGAUAUCCUUGCCCAUAGGACACACCACAUGUAGGGACACUUUGCAUUGUGGUCCUUUCAGCAUAUUGUGACUAUUGAGAAGUAAGUUCCUCCAAUUGAGCUUGAAUGGUAGCAAAAUCCAUGUCUUACUUCUCUAGUACCUGAAAUCAAGGUAACAAAACUAAAUCAAAUAUCAAAAAAAAAACAAAAAAAAAAAACACAAACAGAAACAAAGUCAGUAACUAAAAGCAAAAGACACGCAAAUAAACAAAAAGAAAUAACAAGGGAUUAGCAAAGUUGCUAAUCCCGGGCAACGGCGCCAAAAACUUGAUACGAAAAUUAUCUUAAAACACAAAUUUAACCCUCUUUUGACAAUUGUUGUAAAAGUAUAAGUAGGGCACGUUCUAGACCGGGGAUUAGGAGGGCUUGCUAAUAACCUCUAAACUGACUCAAAAACAAAAAACUAAAUUUAAAAACACUUAACAAGACUUACAAGACUCAUAGCAAACUUAAAAUACUUAAAACAGCUUAAAACAACUAAAUAAACUUAAACUAGACACUAGGAAUGACUUUGGACGAAAAUUGACUUUUACUUGAAUCAAAACAUUUAAAAACACAAAUUAAAACAGAGUCUAACUAAUGAGACACACUAAAGUAAAUGGGGAUUGAGUUUUAGACAAAGUUGAAACAAACAAACAAGUAUGAAAAACUAGACAGAUUGUAAAACAAAUUUGAGAAAUAAGAUGAUGGAUGGGAUAGCUAGAGGCUUUUUCUCCACACAUAACAUGUAUGCAAAUAACUCGAUUUCCAGUUACUACUUCAUUGAAUUAUCAAUGACAAUGCUCCAAAUUAACCGUAACAUCACUAGUUAACUCUCAGAGUUUCCUUGUUUUAUUGGAUUGUAUGACAUCAUUCGACAACCCAAAACAUUCUUCUAAAGUUCCCUACAUAACAUCAUAAUAGAGAUACAAUCAAAGAUCAUUACGUUUAAUGAAAAUCAUAAGCAUUGACAAAGCACUUGCAACUAUGACAUGCCAAUUAAGUGUCGACCCUUAAUUAACAAAUACAAAUAAGUUAUUAAUGAAAUAGUUAAGCCAAUUGCAUUCACGAUUCAAGAGUUCAUAACUGGAAUUUAUUAAAUUAUAUUGCACACAUAAUCAUGGCUUUGAAAUCACCCCUAGCCAAGAGGGUUUUAGCCACUCAUAUUUACAACAAAACGAAAGGAAAUGAAGUUAAACAUUAGAAACAAAAGAAAGAAAACACCUAAACGCUCCAACGAUGCAAGUUGGACAGCAAGCACGUCCAAGCACUUUCCUUCCCUUCCUUUGCUACGACACAAGGUGUGGGUGAGUGUUUGAAGGUUUGUUUGUAUGGAGGAAUAGAUGUGAAGAUGAAUGGAUGUGUUUGGAUGAAGGUUGUGUUGAAAUGGGAGUGAAUGAUCUAACUAAGUAUGAACUCAAUUUAUGUUACACACACUUCCUUUUAUAGAGGAAGUCAAUGGCAAUGGAGGGGAACAUGGAGUGGCGUAGCAAUUGAGUGCAAUGAUGCAUGAAAUCUGAAAUGAUGCAGGGAAUAAGGAAUGGUGUAGCAAUUGAGUGCAAUGAUUCAAUGUAAUGAUGCAUGAAUCUGAAAUGAUGGAGGGAACAAAGAAUGGUGUAGCAAUUGAGUGCAUGAUAGGAGCAUAUUUAUGCGACUUAGUUGGCUUGUUCUUGUGCAUUUAUGUCGUGUUUCCUUAGUUAUUUUAAUGUUUAAAGUCAUUUUCGUGUGUUUUCAGAUUUUAAGGACAAAGUAGGCAAGAAGAUGCAUUUUGGAGCAUUUUGGAGCAAAAUGGAGCUUGGAAUGCAUGUCACAUAUUUUGGAACCAAGGUUUGGACGAAAUUGAAGACUUAAAGAGGCUAAGAAUGUGAAGAAUUAGUGUACAAAGGAUCAUGAACUCAACCACAAAAAGACACACAUCCUUGCCGUGCAAUCCACAUAGCAUUCCCUUUGGAUUCCCAUGCAUGCUUAAUCAUCCUUGUCCCCUAAAAUAUUUCUGAUUUCAUGCCUCAAUACACUCAAUUAUCACACUCAAUUGAUGCAUACCUCUUGUUCCCUUCACCCAUCAGAUUUCACAACCAUUCCAUGCACCAAUUGAUGCUCCAUCAUCCACAUUUGGGAUCCAAUGCCUUGUGCAACACAUGUUGCUGCACCUUUAACUAAUUUCUGAAACAUUUCACCUCCCCUUUUCAUUUCCAUGCAAUGAACACAAUCAUUCAUGCUCCCUAGCUGAAAUACCACUCCAUUUUACCCUCAAUACUUUGCAUCAUUGCUCCAUUUUCAUCCUUGGACCAUUGCACACCACAAAUUCACCCUCCUUGCUGUGCAUUUCCCCACUGCCUAAUCUGAUUCUCUAGGGUUUUUGGGGCCUAUAUAUACAUGUUUACAACCCUUGGCAAGGGGUUGAACCUCCCAUACUCAUCAUUCAUGCAGAAUAUUCGUCCAUACUCACCUUAGGCAGCAAAACACCCCAAAAACACCAUUCUAGUGCCCAGAAAACAUAACAGCCACUCCACCCUCUUCCACCCUUUUUGCCGAGUUCUCCACCACCCUCUAACCAUCAAACACUCCUCCACACUCACCCUAAACCUUUCCAUACCAUUCCCCAUCCAUUCUACACCAUAAAACUACCCAAAACCUGUCCAUAACCCAAUAUGCCGCAAGCAAGGGAAAGGAGGAAUCUUGGAUGCACUUGCUGCCAAGUUGGAGCAUUCUAGGUGUUUUCUUUCUUUGGAUUUUAAUGUCUAAUUCAUGUAAUCUUUGUUUUGCUUUAAGUAUGAUUGGCUAAUUUCGUUUUUGGCUAAGGGUGUAUUCAAAACCAUGAUUAUAUAUGUGAAAUGAGUUGAUUAUUUCCAGUUAUUGUUACAUAAGUCGUGAAUACAAUUUGCUUAACCAUUUGAUUUAGAACUUAUUCUUGUAUGUUGAUUGAGAGUGCACGCUUAAUUUUCAUGCUUGAAUUUGAUGCUAGGAUAUAAAUUUGUUUCACCUAAUCGUUAUGAAUUUAUAUUCGUAAGUAGUGAAGGUCGCUAGUCACGAUCGUGUUAAGUAGAUUCCUGGCAAGAGUAUCAUGCUUUUCAUAGUUACGAAUGCCUUGUCGAUGCUUAUGAUUUCCAAAGAACGUAAUGAGUCUAACUUGUGUCUUUAUCAUGCUGUUCAUAUAAAGAACUUGUUAGGAAUAAUUUGUUUGCGAUGCAUAUUCAUCCAAUUCAAUGAUCCUAGGGAAAUCUGAAGGUUAAUUUAAGCGGACCUAAUUAACUUGGAGUGUCGAGGUUCAUAACUUAUUGAAUUGAUAACUGGAAAUUGAUUUACGUUGCAUAUAUUUCAUGUGUGGAGAAGAACCCCUUAGCCAUUCCAUCAUCCAUUGAUUCUUCAUAACUUUGUAUUACAAUCUGUUUCUCUUACAAUCUGCCAUUUAAGUUUAUUUUCGUCCAAAAUCAAAUCCCCAAUUAUUUUGAAUUCCUAGAUUAAUUGGAAAGUGUGUUGGUUUAUGUUUUUAGGUGUUUUAGGUCACUAGGAAACCAAAAUUCGUCCAAGUUGAGUUAGAGUCCCAAAACUGCCCAGAAAGUGGUUUUUAGGCAGUUUUGAGUGUUUAGUUGCUGUUUUGAUUCUUUUGGUUCGUUUUAGUAUUUUAACGUGAGUUUUGCAUUCUUUGAGUCUAAUCUAGUGCUUUAAACUUUGUUUUUACAUUUCUAAGUCAGUUUUCAAGUGUUUAGCAAUCCCUCCUAAUCCCCGGUCUAAAACGAUCCCUAUUUACAUACUUUGCUACAAUUGAUAAAAAGAGGGUUUAAUUUUGUGUGUUAACUUAUUUUUCACAUCAGUGCAAUGAUUCAAUGUAAUGAUGCAUGAAAUCUAAAAUGAUGGAGGGAACAAGGAAUGGUGUAGCAAUUAAGUGCAAUGAUUCAAUGUAAUGAUGCAUGAAAUAUGAAAUAAUGAAGGGGACAAGGGCGAUUAUGCAUGGCAUGGGUGGAAAGGUGAGUAAGUGGUGAAUCAAUGAGUGCAAGGAGGUUAAAGGAUAUUGUGCACAUGGUAGACAAAGGAAAGGAAGUGGAAUGAUGCAACAAAUGAGUCAAUGGAGGGAACAUGGAUGAUGAUGCACGGCAUAUAGGAAUCCAAAGGGAGUGCAAUGGUGGUGCACGGGAAUGAUGGAAAGGUGAAUGGUGGAGUGACACCCCUUUGUGGCUGAGCUCUGAUAGGAGCAUAUUUAUGCGACUGAGUUAGCUUGUUCUCAUGCAUUUAUGUUGUUAUUUCUUAGUUAAUUAUGUAUUUUAAGCUAUUUUCGUGUGUUUGUAGGUCCAUAGGCCUUAUAAAUCAAUAAGAUGCAUUUUGGAGUAGUUUUGGGCUUGGAAUGAAUAGCACAUGCAUGGAGCAAGGUGGAUGGAUGAAAUUGAAGACUAAAGAGGCUAGAAAUGUGUUAAAGAGAAAGAAGAAUUAAUGUAAAAAGGACAAAGAGCUCAGCCACAAAGGGGUGUCACUCCACCAUUCACCUUUCCAUCAUUGUCGUGCACCACCAUUGCACUCCCUUUGGAUUCCUAUGCCGUACAUCAUCAUCCAUGUUCCCUCCAUUGACUCAUUUGUUGCAUCAUUCCACUUCCUCUCCUUUGUCUUGUUGGAAAUAUGCCCUGAAAGUCAAUCUUUGGAAGAAACCUUUCAGGACAAAUGAAUCGAUGUAUAGAUGACUCUUAUACAUCAAAUGGCAAAGAUACUAAUUAGGACUAUCUCAAUAAACGAUAUAUGUCCUAAAUAAUGAAUCCAUGGACAAUGGAUCGAUUGAAGAAGUAAUCUAAUGAUGUUAGACUACAGAGACCUUCUUCACAUAACCAUUAUGUCCAAAAAGGUUCCUGGUCAUUGGAUUGUAUGAGGGAAACUAACAAUGCUUAGACCGGUACAUACUGUGUCCGCUUCAAAUGGAAGAAUGGAAAGUCUCAUCCCAUUUGUGUAGUGACACUAAGACAAGUAUGUAGGUGCUCAUUAAGGGAAUGAGUUCACUGAACACAAUCGAACGAGAGUACUUGCAUGGAGGUCUACUCACAUGUCAAGCAAGUAACUCUAAUGGUUGGAAUAAUGUAAGUAGUCCUUUGACCUGAGGCAUCGUCGUUGUCUUGUGGCUAAGUACUUAAUCUUUGAUUAUGUCAAAGUCACCCCAUUCGUGGGUGUCCACGGCAUAAUUGGGGUUAAGCCACUUAGUCAUGAAGGCAAGUGAAUGCGCAACAAGGAAUCUCUAAUCCUCGAUAAGAGAGGAAGAAUACUCUAAGAUAUGAUUCGGGAACCUUCGGCCGAAGUAUCGAGCGUAAUAAAGGAAAGCGUUCCUAUACGACUCAAUAGAAUCAUAUAAGAAGGAAUAAUCACAUUAGGGGUUUGACAUAAUAUAUCCAUACCCUAGUAAUGUGAUUGAGAGUAUUGUUUUAGAGAAGGAUCGAAUUACAUUGUAAUUCCAACUGAAUAGGUUCUCCGAACAACUUCUACAUUAGCUUGGGUAGCUAUGACAUAUGGUUAGAUGUCACUCAUAGCUUGUGAGUUCUUCUAGAUGAUUAAAUGUAGUCAUCAAAGAAGAAAGGUGAAUUAAAAGGAAGUUUUAAUUCACUAAGUGAUUGGAUUAAAUAUAAUCAAUUGGAUUGAUGUCAAUCACCUCACUGCCUUGCUAAUUAGAACCUAAAAUGAUUGUACACCGAUACACUCUUGUAGUGAGUAAUUAAUGGAUGAUGGAAAUAAUUAAUUGGAUUAAUUAAGUGUUGUGAUUAAUUUAGAAAGUCUAAAGAAAUCAUAAAAGCGAUAAAAGAUCGUUUUGGGCUUAAAGAAACGUUCGGGUUUAAUUGGGUCCAUUGGGCCUAAACCCAUUGGGCUUUUAUUCAAGCAUUGGAUGACUAGAAAUAAAUAAAAGCCCAAAGCCCAAACCAACACAAAGGGGCCGGCCAUUUAAAGUGGAGAGGGAGAGAUAUUAAGUCAAUUUGUUGACUAGGUUUCUUUUUGUCUAUAUAAGGAACUUUAUAGAGAUUUAUUCCUUAAUGGUUUUUGUGUGUUUUAAAACAACAAAGAGGCAAAAUAAACAUCUCUCUAAAAACACCAAAGGUCGGCCACCUUGAGGGUGAUUUAGCUAACAAUCUUUCACCCUUUUGGUUAUUCCUCCAUCCAUCUCACUACACUAGUGGGUGUGGAUAUUUAGAGGUCUUCUCCUUUGGAGACUAAAGGAGAACCUUGGAGCACUCUUACUAACAAAGUGGAGGAGGCAAGGAGGGAGGCUAGGCUCAAGGACUUCAAGGAGCAAAGGGCUUGGAGGUGGUCCAUCCUUGGUCUAAAAUCAAGAUCAAGAGGUAUAGAUCUAUACCUUCACUUAGUUCUUAACUUGAAUGUUUUAGAUGCAUUAUAUAUAAACCUAUGAAGCUUGAAGGGGAUUUGCAUGACUAUAGCUUUGAUAUUAUUUGAUAACAUGCUUCCGUUGCUUAUGUAUAUAAAUUUUGAAUUGUAUAUGCAUGCUAGUCAUUUCGAAAUCCCAUGUGUAAAACUCAUAGAUUUCCCUUCAUGUCUACCAUGUGCACAAUAUCCUUUCACCUCCUUGCACUCAUUGAUUCACCACUUACUCACCUUUCCACCCAUGCCAUGCAUAAUCACCCUUGUCCCCUUCAUUAUUUCAUAUUUCAUGCAUCAUUACAUUGAAUCAUCGCACUUAAUUGCUAGAUUAUGUGUGCAAUAUAAUUUGAUAAAUUCCAGUUAUGAACUCUUGAAUCGUCAAUGCAAUUGGCUUAACUAUUUGAUUGAUAACUUAUUUGUAUUUGUUAUACCAAAAGUACCAAAAGUACCAAAAGUACCAAAAGUAUUUGUUAUGAACUCUUACUACUCUUCUUUCACAGGUGGUUGAAAUACCAAAAGUACAAAGUGUAGCUGCUUGUGGCGUGUGCUUAAUGCAAGGAUAUCUCACGGAUAAGUGCCCUCAAUUGAUCAGGAAUGAAGGGUGAGAAUUUGAGAAUUUGCCAAUGCCGUGGGUUUUCAAGGCCGCAAUCAGCAACAUAAUGACCCCUACUCCAACACUUACAAUCCAGGAUGGAGAGAUCAUCCAAAUUUCAAGUAGAGAGAACCACAACAAUCUGCCCAACAAGGAGGAUUUCGGCCACAACCCCCUGGGAUAUAUCAAAGGCCAUAUGUACCCACUCAAGUCCAACCACAAUCUACCCAAACCAAUUCAGGUACAUCCAUGGAUAAUUAUCAAAUUGUUCAAUUACUAACUUCCUUAGUGCAAGGGCAGCAAAAUCAAAAUAAAAACAAUGCUCAAUCAAGCUAAGGAGGUGGAUGAAUUGAAGAAACAAAUGGGCCAAAUGGCGGAGUUCAUGGGGCAAAUCAAAGAGCAAGGCAAACUGCCUAGCACAACCAUUGUGAAUCCAAGGGAAGGAUUUGAAUCCGUAAAAGCCAUUACCUUGAAAAGUGGAAAAGAAGUUGGAAUGGACCCCCAACCAUCAAAAUCUACCCAAACGGAGGACGAGAAGCUGCAACAAGAGGAGGAUGUCCAACACACACCCAUGGCAAGGAAGGAAACAACCUUACCGUGCACUCCUACACUCCCUAAUCCAUCCAAUCUGUCCACCACAGGUAAGAAAGGUUCCAAUUCAGUUAAUUCUAACAUUAUUCCACAAAAUGAACCUUUCCCUCACAGAUUCAUGCAAACACAGAAUGAAGAAAGUGAAAAAGACAUCCUUGAAACAUUCAGAAAAGUACAAGUCAAUAUUCCACUCUUACAUGCCAUCAAACAAAUCCCGAAGUACGCUAAGUUUUUAGAGAAGCUUUGCACAACAAGGAACCGGAUUCGGGAGAAAGAGGUGGUACAUGUGAAUGAGAAUGUCUCUGCAAUGUUGCAAAGGAAGCUGCUACCCAAAUGCAUAGAUCCAAGUAGUUUCACUAUCCCUUGUGUUAUUGGAAAUACGAGGUUUGAACAUGCUAUGCUAGAUCUAGGUGCAUCAAUUAAUGUCAUGCCAUAUACUGUUUAUGCAUCUAUGAAUCUAGGAGAGCUUAAACAUGAUGGUGUUGUUAUUCAACUAGCCAAUCGAUCUAAUGCCUACCCGAAAGGAGUUUUGAAGGAUGUUUUGGUGCAGGUAGACCAAUUGAUUUUUCAAGCAGAUUUCUAUGUGCUUGACAUGGAGGAUGCAGCCCACUCUCCACCACCAUCAAUCUUACUUGGAAGACCUUUCAUGAAAACAGCUCAAACUAAGAUUGAUGUGCCCAAGGGAGCAUUAACAAUGGCAUUUGGUGGUGAUAUGAUGAUUCACUUUAAAAUUCCUGAAUCUAAUGUGAAUCUUAAUGAUGUUUGUUCUUGUUUUGCCAUUGAUGUAGUUGAAAACAUAGGACAAGAACCUUCCGCACCAACUAAGAAGGAUGAAUUUCUAACCACCAACGAAGAAGAAAUUGGAGUGGAGCACAAAGAACACACCACUAACCUCCAAAUGCAUAAUCUGGCCGAAAGCACAUUUGGAAAAUCUGUUGACAGUGCUGCCACUUCAUUGUAACACAUUGGUAAACCACCUAUUCCAAUUUCGAUUCCCAUUUCAACUAAUAGGUUGUUACCUUGUAUGGUGCAGGUCCCCAAUCGAAUCCAAGCUGGUGGGAAUGAUUACAUUGACUUAAGGAUGCUCAACGCCCCAAUCGGGAAGGAUUACUAUGCCCUUCCAUUCAUAGAGCCAAUGUAUGAGUAUUUUGAGGAGCAUGCCGUAGAGCACAUUGAUUGGAGCAUAUUUAUGCGACUUAGUUAACAUGUUUUCUUGCAUUUACUUAGUUAGUUAUUGCUUAUAAGAGUGUUUUAAGCUAUUUUCGUGUGUUUUGUAGGUCCUAAUAACUAAGUUGGAAAGAAAGUGCAUUUUGGUGCAAUUUGGAGCAAUUUUGGGCCAAAAUGGAUUGCAUGCAUAUGGAGCAAGUGGGAUGGACGUUUUUGGUGUUUUAAAAAGGGUUUCAACACAUGCAAAAAUCUGAAUAAUGAAGUUGAAGUGUGGAAGUGUGCAGAUACAUACACUUAAGGAACAAUUUGAAAGGAAAAGAAGUGAAAGAUGCCAUUUGUUGGAUUGCUUUACAAGUUGUAUUCACAUUUUCAGCAACUACAAACAUAAUUGCAAGCUGAAAUGAUGCAUAGCAUGUGUGUAGAGGUGUAAAGUGGCCUAAAGUUGAUGUUUGCAAGAUGAAAUGAUGCAAAACAUGUGUGUGAAAGUUGUCUAACAGCUAGUACAUGUGGAAAAGGGAUGGAAUACAAGGCAAAUGCAUCAGAAAUUGAAGAAUGAAGGCACAUGGACAGCUACAAAGGAGUUGAAUUAGCAAAAGAGGAAUGAUUGCCUUUUGUUAAAGGCAAGACACAAUGAUAAAAGAGCAUGUAAACUAGCUGUUUUUGCAUCAUUUUGGUCUUUGUUUGUAUUGUUUAUUGAAGCCACUUGAGUGAUUCUUUGCUUUGGAGCUUCUAUAAAUAGGGAGUGAAGGGAAGAACACUACACAUUACACUACAUCAAAAACACAUCAACCACCCCUCCAUAUUCAGAAUUUUCUCCAGAAAUCAUUCCCUCUCUUUGCCACAGCCUUCCUUCACCAUUCUUCCAUAUUUUUCUGAUUCUUUUUACCCUAGCCGUACCCCCCAUCAAUCCUAAACCCUUCCAUACCAUUCCCUACCCAUUCUCCCAUACAAAUACCACCCUAGAACCUGACUUUAGACCAAGUGCCGCAGCAAGGAGGAAAGAAGACUUGUUGAUGCACCUGCUGUCCAAGUUGGAUCAUCUAGCUGUUUUCUUUCUUUGGAUUUUAAUGUCUAAAUUUAUGUAUCUUUGCUUUGUGAGUAUGAGGAACUAAACCCCCUUGGCUAGGGGGGGAUUCGAAACCAUGUUUAUGCUUGCUAUAUGAUUUGAUUACUUUCAAUUGCAUUUCAUAAGUUGUGAAUUCAAUUUACUUAUCUACAUGAAUUAAAACUGAUUUGUGUGUGUUGGUUGAGAGUGCACGCUUAAUUUUCAUGCAUAAGUUUGAUGCUAGGAUAUAAGGGAAUUUCACCUAAUCGUUAUGAACUUAUAUUCAAAAGUAGUGAAGGUUGUUGAUCACAAUCGUGUUAAGUAAAUUCUUGGCAUAAGUUUCAUGCAAUUCAUAGUAACGAGUGCUUCGCCAAUGCUUAUGAUUUUCAUAGAACUUAAUGAUUCUUGCUUGUAUCUCUAUUAUGCAAUUCAUGUAGGGAACUUGUGGGGAAUGCUUUGGGUUGUCGUAUGCAAUUCAUCCAAUCCAAUAACUUAAGGAAAAUCUGAGGGUUAAUUAGUGCAAUUCACGGUUAAUCUGGGGUGUUGGGAAUUCAUGGUUUAUCGAAAAGCAAUUGGAAAUCGUUUUGUAUGCAAGUGUGACAUGUGUGGAGAAGAACCCCUUAGCUAGCUUUCCAUCCAUUCACUUUUCUCAAAUUCAUUUUAGAAUCUGUUCAAUUUACAAGUUUUGUUUUUGUUUUCAAUUUUCGUCAAAACCAAUUCCCCAUUUAUUUUAAAGUGUUAGAUUAAGUAGAAAUUAAUUUAGUUUGUGUUUUUAAGGGUUUUGAGUCAAGUUAUAACCCAAUUUGGUCCAAUUUAGUGUUAGGUGUCAAAACUGCCCAGAAAGUGUUUUUAAGGCAGUUUUGAGUCUUUGUUUGCUGUUUUGAGUCUUUUGGUUUGUUUUGGUGUUUUAAAGUUUAGUUUUGCAUUCUUUGAGUCUACUUUAGUGUUUUAAACUUGUUUUUACGUAUUUGAGUCAGUUUUCAAGUGAUUUAGCAAUCCCUCCUAAUCCCCUGUCUAGAACGAUCCCUACUUACAUACUUUGCUACAAUUAAUAAAAAGAGGAUUUAAUUUGUGUGCUUAUAUAUUUCGCAUCAGACAUACCCCUCCAUGUCGUGGGCCCUAUUCAAGCUUAAAUGGAGGUAUCGUCCGGCUGGUGAUAGGAGCAUAUUUAUGCGCCUUAGUUUAGCUUGAUCUUGUGCAUUUAUAGUGUUUUUCCUUAGUAAAGUAGUCUUUUAAGCUAGUUUUAUGUGUUUUCAGGUUUUAAGGGCAAAAUAUGAAAAAGGAUGCUUUUUGGAGCCUUUUGGAGCAAAGUUGAGCUUGGAAUGGAUGUCAUAUGCUUGGAGCCAAGAGGAUGGACGAAAUUGAAGAUUUGAAGAUGAUGUUUCCUACUUGAACAAGGUUUCCUAGUCGAAGUAGGAAAGCGCCUAAGUGAAGAUGGAAUCCUAGUUGAAUUAGGAUUCCUAGUCAAAAUGGGUUUCCUAGUUGAAUUAGGAUUCCUUGAAGAUGAAGAUUCCUAUGCAAACAAGGUUUCCUACUUGAUGUAGGAAAGUCAAAAUCCAAAUGGUCUCAAGUGAAGCAACAAAGAAGUUUUCCAAGUCCAAGAAGGAAAAGGAGUCCAAGUUGAAGAAGGAAUGACAAAGACAAGGUUUCCUAAUCCUAAUAGGCAAAGUUUCCAAGUGCAAUGAGGAAUCCUUAUCCAUUUAGGGCACCUUAUCCAUUUAGGAUACCUCAUCCUUGUUCUAGAAACCUUAUCCAUCCUUGCCGUGAGUUUUCCUUGCAUUAGAGGGUUUCUAGAAGCCCUAAUCUGCUCCAUCCUUUAGUGCCGCACCCUAGGCCUUCUAGAUACCCUAAUUCCUUGCCUUGCAAGGCAUUCUAGAAACCUUAUCACCUUAUCCCAUUGCUGCCGCACCCUUAUCCUUUUCCUUUGCAAAAUCUGAUUGUUUAAACCUAUUUCCUUGUGGAUUUGGGUUAUCCAAGUCCAUAUCUGAUUACCCUAGGGUUUUAAGUGCCUAUAUAUACUCAUAUUAAUCCCUAGAUCAGAUCACCACCUCUCAUACAUAACCAUUCACGCCAGAAAUUAAACCUUGAUUUCUGCCGCACCCUUCUACCACCAUUCUCCCAAAUAUCUGCCUAAAAACAACCCUAGCCGCACCACCCAUCAACCCAAAAGCCUUCCCUACCAUUCCCCAUCCAUUCAACACCACAAAUAACCCCAAAGAACUUGUCUAAAGUUCUCUGCCGCAGCAAGGAGGAAGGAGGAUUCUUGGAUGCACUUGCUGCCACGUUGGAGCAUUCUAGGUGUUUUCUUUCCUUUGAUUUUAAUGUCUAAAUUUAUGUAUCUUUCCUUUGCGAGUAUGAGGAACUAAACCCCCCUUGGCUACGGGGGGAUUCGAAAUACAUGUUUAUGCUUGCAAUAUGAUUUGAUUACUUCUAAUUGCGUUUCAUAAGUUGUGAAUUCAAUUUACUUAUCUAUGUGAAUUACAUUGAUUUGUGUGUGUUGGUUGAGAGUGCACGCUUAAUUAUCAUGCAUAAAUUGAAUGCUAGGAUAUAAGGAAAUUUCACCUAAUCGUUAUGGACUUAUAUUCACAAGUAGUAAAGGUUGAUGAUCUCAAUCGCGUUAAGUAAAUUCUUGGCAUAAGUUUCAUGCAAUCAUAGUAACAAGUGCUUCGUCAAUGCUUAUGGUUUUCAUAGAACUUAAUGAUUCUUGCUUGUAUCUCUAUUAUGCAAUCAUGUAGGGGACUUGUGGGGAAUGCUUUGGGUUGUCGUAUGCAAUCAUCCAAUUCAAUAACGUUAGGAAAAUCUGAAGGUUAAUUUAAGCGGACCUAAUUAACUUGGGGCGUUGAGAAUUCAUGGGUUAUUGAAAAGCAAUUGGAAAUCGUUUUGAAUGCAAGUAUAACAUGUAUGGAGAUGAACCCCUUAGCUAGCCUUCCAUCCAUUCAUUUAAAUCAAAUUCGUUUUUAAAAUCUGUCUAGUUUACAAAGUUUGUUUUGUUUUCAAAUUCGUCCAAAAUCAAUCCCCCUUUUCUUUGUUGAGUCAUAUUAGUUAGAAGUCAAGUAGUUUGUGUUUUUAAGUGUUUUGAGUCAAGUUAAAAACUAAUUUCGUCCAAGUUUGUGUCUAGUGCUCAAAACUGCCCAGAUUGUGUUUUUAAGGCAGUUUUGAGUGUUUUGGGGCAGUUUUGAGUCUUUUGGUUUGUUUUAGUGUUUUAAAGUUUAGUUUUGCAUUCUUUGAGUCUAGUUUAGUGUUUUAAACUUGUUUUUACGUAUUUGAGUCAGUUUUCAAGUGAUUUUGCAAUCCCUCCUAAUCCCCGGCCUAGAACGAUCCCUACUUACAUACUUACUACAAUUGAUAAAAAGAGGGUUGAUUUGAGUGCUAGUUAAUUUUCACAUCAAAUUUUGGCGCCGUUGCCGGGGAUUAGCAAUUUUGCUAAUCCCUUGGAUUGUUAUUUUCGUUUUUCUUAUUGAUCAGAUUCUUAUGUUAUUUUGUUUCUUGUUUUAGGUACUUGUUUAUGACUCGGAGUUCUAAUCCGGUUCACGAACAUAUUUUAGACUUUGACGACGAUUUUGAGCGUGAGUUGAGACGAAAGAGGAAGAACCCGGAACCUAGUGAAUCAAGUGCAAGUUCCGAGUCCGUUUCUGAAUUUGAAGAGGAAGUGGAAGACAUGGCAGCGGACAACCGAACGAUCAAGGAGCUUUCCGCUUCGGGAUUGGAUAAUGCCGCACCCCUAUGUAUCCAAUACCCUAGGGCGGCUCCGGACAAAACUGCCGAGUUCGACUUGAAGUCAAGCUUGUUACAUCACAUUCCGAAGUACCAUGGGCUGUCCAUGGAAGAUCCGAACAAGCAUUUGAAGGAGUUUGAAGUCGUUUGCUCAAGCAUGACUCCGGUGAACGUGGAUGAGAGCAUCUUGAAGAUGAAGGCCUUUCCCUUUUCUCUCCAAGAGAAGGCGAAAGAUUGGUUGUACGAAUUGGCUCCCGGAACUGUCACAUCAUGGGAGAGCAUGAAACGAGCUUACUUGGAGAAGUUUUUCCCAACUUCUCGAGUCAUCCUCCUACGAAAAAGGAUAAGUGGAAUUCAACAAGAUGAAGGUGAGUCGUUUCCUACAUAUUAUGAACGUUUUAAAUCUCUUGUUGCUUCAUGUCCACAGCAUCAAAUGAAAGAGGAACUACUUCUACAAUACUUCUAGGAGGGACUUUUACCAAUUGAACGUCAAAUGCUAGAUGCCUCAGCGGGAGGAGCAUUGGUGGAAAGGACCCCUACGGCUGCAAAGAUGUUGAUUGCUAAUCGAGCGUUGAACGCUCAACAAUACGAAGGUGUUGGCCAAAGGAGCAUGCCACGGCAACAUCAAGUCAAUGAGGUAAGUACCAUAACCGAACUUCAAAAUCAAAUGGCUAACCUUACUACGUUGCUUUCUCAGGUGAUGGAAGGUCGAAAAGUCAAACUCGUAGCUUCUUGUGGCGUAUGCUCCAUGCCAAACCACCAUACGGACAAGUGCCCACAAUUGAUCGAGAAUGGAGGGUGGGAGACACUCAAUGCCGUGGGAUAUGGCAACCAAUACCAAUCACCUGGUGAUCCGUUUUCCAAUACUUACAAUCCCGGUUGGCGUGAUCAUCCGAAUUUCAAAUGGCGAGACCUCUAACAAGGCCAACAACAAGACGGAUUUAGGCAACAACCCCCAGGUUUCUAUCAAAAGUCGUUGGCACCACCACAAGCCCAAGAACAACCUGCCCAAAGCAAUGCAGGUAAUUCAAGUGAUAAUGAUAAGAUUUUCAAUUACUUACUACUUUGAUGCAGGAAGUCCAAACUCAAAACAAAGAGAGGCAAAUCCAAGACAAGAGGGUGGACAACUUGGAGAAGCAAGUGGGACAAAUUGCCGAGUUCAUGGGGCAAUUUCGUGAGCAAGGAAGGUUGCCUAGUUCAACGGUUGUCAAUCCGAGGGGAGGAGUCGAAACUGCCAAGGCCAUCAUGCUAAGAAGCGGAAAAGAAGUAGGAACCGAGCCAAAACCAUCCAAAUCUGCCCUCAAGGAGGACGAGAAGUUGCAAAUAGAAGAGGAGGAGCAAGCAAAACCCACGGCAGGGAUUGAGCAAUCCUUGCCGCAACCACCCAGGCCAUCAAAUUCGGCCAAUAAGGGUAAGACAUGUACAAUUCAAGUUAAUUCUAAUGUUAUUCCUCCGGAUGUACCAUUUCCUAGCAGAUUUUUGCAAGCCAAGAACGAAGAAGAGGAACAAUACGUUCUUGAGACGUUUAGAAAGGUGCAUGUCAAUAUCCCUCUCCUCGAUGCUAUAAAGCAAAUCCUGAAGUAUGCCAAGUUUUUUAAGAAGCUUUGUACAACAAGGAAACGGAUUCGGGAGAAAGAGGUGGUACACGUAAGCGCGAGAAUGUAUCUGCAUUGUUGCAAAGAAAGUUACCACCUAAAUGCAAAGACCCAGGUAGUUUCACUAUCCCUUGUGUUAUUGGCAAUACGAGGUUUGAUCAUGCUAUGUUAGAUUUAGGUGCAUCUAUAAAUGUCAUGCCAUAUUCUGUUUAUGCAUCUAUGAAUCUAGGGAAGCUUAAAAAUGAUGGUGUUAUUAUUCAAUUAGCCGAUCGAUCUAAUGCAUAUCCCAAAGGAGUGUUAGAAGAUGUGUUGGUGCAGGUAGACCACUUGAUUUUUCCUGCAGAUUUCUAUGUGCUUGAUAUGGAGGACUCAACCCACUCUCCACCAUCACCACUCUUACUUGGACGACCAUUCAUGAAAAUGGCGCAAACCAAGAUUGACGUGGCCAAGGGAGCAGUAACUAUGGCCUUUGGUGGUGAUAUGAUUAACUUUAAGAUUUCUGAAUCGGUUGAGAAUACUAAUGAUGCUCGUUCUUGUUGUGCUAUUAAUGUAAUUGAAAAUAUAGGGAAGGAAUGUUCAACACUAGUCAACAAGAAUGUAUCACAACCCACCAUCGAGGAAGGAAUUGGAGUGAACAACAAAGAGUGCACGGCCCCAACCUUGAAAUCACCAAAUCUGGUCGAGUGCACCCCUUGUGCAUAUGUCCAUAGUGCUACCACUUCUUUGCCGUACAAAGGUAAGCCACCUAUUCCAAAUUCGAUUCCCAUUUCAACUAAUAGGUUGUUACCUUGUAUGGUGCAGGUACCUAAUCGAAGACAACGUGGUGGGAGAGUUCGUGUUGAUUUAGAGAAGCAAAACAUGACAAUAAGAAAGGAUCAUUAUCCCAUCCCAUUCAAGGACCUAAAGAAUGAAGUAUUUCGUAGGACAGGUUGUGGAAACACCCCUCCAUGUCGUGGGGUUCCAUAAACCUUCAAUGGAGCAUCGUCCGGCUGCAAGACGUUAAAGAAAGCGCUUCUUGGAGGCAACCCAUGCAUUCAACAAAGGAAGACCUAGAGAGCACUCCAAUUCCAGAUUUGCGUUCCUAAACCCUUCUCUUUGUUGUUAUUUCGUUUCUGCCAUGUUAGGUUGUUUAGUUGCUGUUUUGUGUGUUUGUUUGUUAUUUGUGUUAGUUUAUGCUUGAAACAUUGAGGACAAUGUUUGAUUUAAGUGUGGGGGGGUAACCAAAGUGUUUUCAUACAAAUUCGUAGGGUUUUAUCACCCAUAAUUUCAAAUGUUGUUCCUUGCUGUUUUUAGGCUGUUUUGGUGUGUUUUAGUGUGUUUUGAUUCAAAAAUCCGAAAAUCCCAUAAAAAUUUGAAAAAUUUGUUUUGAAAAACCCAAAAAGAGUCAUUUUAAAGUUGUUUUGUGUGAUUGUUUGUGUCUUAGGGUACCUUCCAACACAAUGAUGAGGAUUCGGUUUGUAAUUACAUGACGGUUAAAGAGAGUUAUAAACAUGGAUAAAACUUUGAUUUACUCUUUGGUUUAUGCUUGGUUGUGGUUAUAACUUAUGAAUUCACAUGUAAUCAUAAAGAAAAAAUUAGUUUUUGUAACAUGCUUGAAGGAAGGAACUCAAACAAACGCUACAACCUUGUGAGACUUGAGCCUAAACGUUUAUUUGGAGAGUUAAAAUCUGUGCAUUCUUUGUUU
rnacentral:lncRNA from 1 species